GGUGAACGCUGGCGGCGUGCUUAGGACAUGCAAGUCGAACGCAGUCUUCGGACUGAGUGGCGCACGGGUGAGUAACACGUAACUGACCUACCCCCAAGUCGCGAAUAACCAGCCGAAAGGAUGGCUAAUACGUGAUGUGAUGAUCCGCUGUGGCGGAUCAUUAAAGACUUGAUCGCUUGGGGAUGGGGUUGCGUUCCAUCAGCUAGUUGGUAAGGUAAAGGCUUACCAAGGCAACGACGGAUAGCCGGCCUGAGAGGGUGGCCGGCCACAGGGGCACUGAGACACGGGUCCCACUCCUACGGGAGGCAGCAGUUAGGAAUCUUCCACAAUGGGCGCAAGCCUGAUGGAGCGACGCCGCGUGAGGGAUGAAGGUUCUCGGAUCGUAAACCUCUGAACCAACGACGAAAGACCCGACAAGGGAGAUGACGGUAGUUGGGUAAUAGCACCGGCUAACUCCGUGCCAGCCGCCGCUGUAACAC
rnacentral:rRNA from 1 species